rnacentral:lncRNA from 1 species
UUAAAGCAUUAAGUACAGAAUUGAUCAAAACUCAAACAACUUGGAGUAGAGGGGUACCCUGCCAUUGCCCAAGUAUGCUAGAUAAAGGCUGAAUCAUAGUUAACAUCAGAAAUGGAGAUUCUUCUAGGAGCAAUGAGCGCAUGUCAGGAUAUUGAAAGGAGAAAUAUUUGCCCUUCGGAAUAUUGAAAUGAUUGUAAAUUUUUCUUUCGGUGACCUGAUUAAUG